rfam:Pseudooceanicola flagellatus strain CGMCC 1.12644 genome assembly, contig: Ga0171584_103
AGAUCGGGAGGCUUUCGGUGGGACGAAAGCCGGGAAUUGAUCGGAAUUCUUGUCGUCUCGUAGGGGCGUGUCGCUGUGCCCGACAGCGCGCACA